UACGUAGGGGGCAAGCGUUGUCCGGAAUCAUUGGGCGUAAAGAGCGCGUAGGCGGUCCGUUAAGUCCGCUCUGAAAGCCCGGGGCUCAACCCCGGGAGGCGGGCGGAUACUGUCGGGCUAGAGUCCGGAAGAGGCGAGUGGAAUUCCUGGUGUAGCGGUGAAAUGCGUAGAUAUCAGGAGGAACACCGGUGGUGUAGACGGCUCACUGGACCGUAACUGACGCUGAGACACGAAAGCGUGGGUAGCAAACAGG
rnacentral:rRNA from 1 species